UAAUAAGUGUUUUAUGGCACUUUUUUAAAUCCAUAUCCACCUUGUGUGCAAUGUCAGUCGAUCUUCUUCAUGGAGAUCGACCAAACAUCAACCUUUAUUUUUUAACUCUUUGUCUGAAAAAAUAUUAUGAAUAAACAAUUCAAAUA
rnacentral:misc_RNA from 1 species